CACACACACACACACACACAACUUUCUCUAACCAUCAUAAUAGCUAUUGUCUUCCCUUGCCCGUUUCUUUCAACAGAUGUGUCCGUUUUUAGUUAAUGCAAAGGAAACGGCAGCUUUUAAAGGCAGCCUUUUGCAGUGGGGGGAAAGCUGUAUUAACUGUAAAAACCUUUUAGUUGCGCAAUUUUGAUAUUGGGCCUCACCUCCCCAGACAUUGCUUUCCUGUGUCUGCGUUUCUCUUUAAGCUCUUAGAAGGGAUCGCUCAGGGGUCAGCAAAGGUGCAGCUCAUAGCUGCGGCAGCAACAACAACAGCUGAGACACUUUAGUUGGAGUGACCUUGCCUGGGGAAUAGCAGCGAGAGAAGCCUCAGACAAAGUAGCAUUUGUGCGUUCAAAAGCGCUCUCGGAUGAUUGUCGUGUUAACCUGUACUCAGGACGCUAAUGGUGUUUGUCUUGGCCAUGGGCCAAAUCAAAGCAGAUUGAAAACACGGAGCCUGGGAAACAACAGCAAACGCAUUCAGAUGGUCUCAGAUGCCGUCAGUCCACAGGUUCGCAAAACCGAAGUCACAGAGCUGCAGUGGGGCAGAGCCUCAGCUAUAAACCAACCUAGGGCGAAUCCACGUCACAGAGAAACCUUGUGCGUCUGAAGUGUGGGGAAAUCUCCAUUGCGUGGUCCUCAGUCGUUUGGUGUGGGGGACACUUUUUCCAGAAUGCUGGCUCCUGUGUCCGCUACUGGGUAGAAAUCUCAAGGACUGAGGUCAGGAACCAUUCCCUGGAUGGCAGUGGCUGGCCUGAAACCACCUCACAUCUAAAAACCUCACUCAUUAAAUAGUGAGUGAACCUAUAGGACCUAUCCAACGGAUUAUAUUACCAAAAUUACAAAUCUCUCUCCUGGACAGCGAAGUACUACAAAUGCAAUUAGGAUUCUACAGGAUUCUCUGGGAGUUUAUCAAUGGGACAGGGGCAGCCCAAGUUGUAGACCCCUCAAUACCAUAUGGCUCAACCUUUGUCACCUACAGGACAGCAAUCCUCUUGGUGGGUUAUACUCUUGAUAUUCAUAUACCAGAUUAAGGGGAAAUCUUACAACAGACAGCUUUUUUUUUUUACCAUCCCCCCGUCUAAACAGAACCAUGUACUCCUCGAGAGGGGGCUGGCUAUGGUGCAAACGCUCAGACUCUUCCACAGCAGGAAGCAUAAUUCCCUGCCCCCACUUUAACCGGAGCUGGUCACCUCUUGAGAGAGAAGAUUGAUGAUCAAACGUGUUGAACGCCAACUCUGAACCAUGUCUUCUGCUAAGUUCCGAGAGACAGGACGACAUUCAAGACACCCAGUAUCUGCGUCUGUCUCUCUGAUAAGCAAUUCUCACCAACUAGGAAAUACAGUUCAACACACCCACCUACCAACGUCUGAAUAUGAAUGUCGAGAAUUUUCCACAAGUUCUUCCUGCCGAUGAGACAUUCCAACUAGCCACAGUCUUCUCUACUCUCUGGUUGAACGAACUCAUAGAACAAGUGUGGUGGUUGCCGGUAUCUCCUGGGAGAGGUUUUCAAACAGCUUGGAUUUCAGUGUAAUUGGUCUGAUAGUUAACUCAGGUAUAGGGAGUUUUAGCAUUCCCUGAGUGAUUUCAGUGACUUUGCAAUAUCACUACUAGGUCUGCAUCCAUUUGCCCGUGACUGUUUCCAAAGAGUAGGCUGUACCACUGCCCGGAAACGUGUUCUCCAUCCAUGCCUGUCUCGCCUCCACUCUCCAGACUCAUGCUAGCAUGUGGGUACUCCAUGUGUUUGACAAAUGAAUUGGACUGAAACAAUAUUUACUAACAUCCAGAAGUGAUCUGUUUUCCUGGAAGGCCGAAGACUUCAGGAAAAAUACCACAGAGCUUAUAUUAGGUUUCUAUUGUUGCCAUAAUAAAUCAGUACCAAUUUAGGGGCUUGAAAGCUGCACCCAUCCGUUAGUGAUCUCACAGUUCAGCCGGUCAGAAGUCUAUUGUUGCUUUUCCCAAAGUAGAAUCAGGGUGUCAGUGGGCCUCAAGCUGCAGGCUCAUGGAGAAAACCUGCUUCUAGACCUAGUCAGUAUUCAGUGGCAUCUACAGGGCACUGUCUCUGACUCCUUCGUGGUUGAUAACCAGAAAGGAACCAGAGUUCACCUAUGUUCUCCCACCUUCUAUGCUUGUAGUGGUGGGGUGGGCUCUCAAGUUUCUAGUCUCUGUGAUCUCAUCUGUGAGCUCCUCGUCCCUUUUUGUCUUUGUCACAUCUUACUGACCUACUCACCUUCCCUUUCUGCACACAAACCCAGACUAAUCCUGCCAGGCCACCGGGAUAAUUUAGGAUAAUCUCCCUGUUUAGAGUCUGAUGAUUGGUCGCCUUACUUCUCUCUGCAAAGACUCUUUACAACAGCAGAAUGUAGGUUAGGGUGAGAUCCAACGAGCAGGGGAUAAGAAUCCUGGGGGUGUCUUUAGAAUUCUGCCUACUGGGAGGGCACAUAAGUGAGAACACAGAACCCCCAUGCAGACGGUAAAGUGCUGGAGGUCAGGGCCAUCCACGGGAGUAGAUGACUGGUUGGAAGUGACAGCAAAUCUAGGGAGAGUGGGUUACUGUUUAUUUGGGGACUUUCAGUUUACAAAGAGCUUGGCUCAGGUUGUAUUAGAUGUUUGAAUGUUGGGCUCAGCGUGCAGGGUGGGCAGCGGAUCUCAGAAGUGCUCAGGGACGGCUGCUGAGAGCUGAGUAGCCAGGAGGCUUCUAGCAGGGCUGCAUCCUCUCACUUCCUGUAAGCUGAGUUGCUCUUAGAAAAGGAUGGAUUUUCCUUCUGGCUGCAGAAUUCAGCGUUAUCAAGGCGAGCUAUAUGAUCUCAGCAAGAACUCUGCCGCCCUAAGAAAAUAUUAGCAUCGAGAAACAAGCUGGGCGGUUGACGUGGAGGUAUUUCCUCGAGAGAAGACCCCAGCUUCCCGGAUUUUCUUCUCUUGGACUGUGGGUCCUGAGGUCUCCCUGCGGGAGGAGCAGGGAGGAAGGAGGAGCAGGUGGCAGCCAGGGCAGCGGGCCAGGGGAAGGUGUGGGGAAGAGCAGCCCGCAGCUGUCUGCAGCCGGAGCCACGCGCGCGCACGUUUGCAUUAGUGGUCAGCACCGGGAGGUUUUCGCAGCACGACAGAGGAGGGGGUGGAGGGAUGAGGGAAUCAUCGAUCGAUCGCUGCGAGCAGAGAAUCUGCAGGAUGUGAGAGGCCUGGUGCUGUGGCUUCCGCUCUCACACAUCAUCAAGCCUCGUUCGAGAUGGUUUGAAUUAAUGACACUUCUUCAGACAGACAGAGUAGGUAAAUGGAAAUGUUAGACCGGCUUUUCACCUUCCUUGCUCGACACUUCCAGUUACCUUGGGUGCUGGAAACUCUCCACCCUAGCCUGCCUCCAGGCAAGUCCUAAAGCAUUACAGUCAUGACAAUUUUCUAACACUGGGUCCUACAGGGUCUUAAGUAAAGGCACGCCUGAAAUGUCCUUUGAAGCACUGUAUCCCUUGGCUGCCUGCUGGACCCAGAGCCUGCAACCAUCAGCCGUGCCCUAGUUACAGGCAGACUUAACCCACGAGAAGGAAGAAGCUCUGGAUCAUUGGUUCUAUAGGACAGCCAGCACCUAAGCACCUUGUCUUAGCCGGGACAAAAGUCCUUCGGAGUUCACAGCUAGAAGCUGAAGCCUGCAAGGUAUCCUUGCCAGCUUCUGGUCUGUCCAGCUAUCCCAGGCCCUGCCCGCUCCUCCGUCUGGCUCUGAGAAAUGGCUCCAGGACCCUGAUCCUUUUGAUUUUUCUGUGUACAGAGGAGCAGGAGACAGUUGGACCUGGAGUCAUGUGUCCAGACACCAACCCAGGUUUCCUGUCCAUCCUAGCUGUUGACCUUGAGGGGUUUACCUCACUAGCCGGUGUUUUAGCUGUUACCCCUGUGCAGAAAGAAUACUAAUAAAAUAUAUUAGUAAAUUAGUAAUGCAGCAAAGUAGUAAAGCAAUAAUAUGCAAUGAAAAUAGAAAAGUAAACUUUAAAGGUGACGUUGAAUCAGCCAGAAUUCCGCACAUGGUACCGAUUAGACGGAUAUGAUUGAUAUACAGUUGUAUAAGUGGAUGGGACAAAAGAAUAAUUUAGAAAAGAAUUCUGAACACUCUUCAUUUGCUAUUUACCUGUGUCUCGUCACCUUGGUUUCUAAUUUAGGUGACCGAAACGCGUUUAGUGGGUCUCCCCAUGGUAGUAGAUGGUUGUCCUUCAGGAGGUUACUGGCUUGCCUUCCUCACCCCAGAGUUGGAGCAGUGUAAACUGCUAAGUCCGGGCUCCCCAGAACCCUUCUGUUCUCACACCAGUUGGACCUUUGGCUGACUUUCCUGGGGCAAGGCUAUAAACUCCUUUUACAGAUUGAAAGAUUUUUAUUCUGAAAAUAUUAUUUUCCCUUGCCUUUCCAAAGAGGAGCUCUUGCUUCUCCUCUGAGCUCUCUUUUGGAAGCCUUCAUGGUUUUAGUGUAGAUGUUCUAAGGGCAGGGGUGGGGGGUGGGGGGUGAGAUGAAAGAGAGUCUGAGCUGAGGGAGGUGAGGAGGUUUUUUUUUUUUUUUUCCAAAUGCAAAUAUGUGAUAAAAUAUGUGGCUUUGUUUAUUUUUGUAUAUCUAAAUGUUAGAAAUGCUAACUUGAGCUGAACCGUUUAACAUGCCUAAUCGGAGGCAGAUGGAAUGGUCAGUGAAUUAUUUCUGUAAACCACUUCUGUUGGCAGGCAGGCUUUCAUUCUCAUUCCAUUCUGGAGACCACUGCAGGUUUGGCCAGAGCGAGCUGGUGCCGGACUCUGCUUCAGUGACAUAUGCCUCCGCUCCCCCGCUCCCCCGACACACAACACAAUCACACGUUUUCUCCAGCCCGGAGAACCACUUUUGUAACUAAUUGGAGCAGACAGGGUGUUGCAGGGAAACCACGAGCACAGCAGAGCGUCCGGGUGGAUAUUCAUCCCCGCCAGUCCUUUAACAAAGUGAACAAUUGCUCAAAUAAUUAUUUCCUGCUGUGGGCUCCCCCUCCGCCUCUUUUUUUUUUUUAAAUGCUUUGUUUGUUAAAUCCUAUUUUCCUUCCUACUUUCCUGUUGACUGCAGCUAAAUUGAAUUCGGUCCAAUCCAUCUCACACUGGGUCAGCAAAAUGCCUUGCUAGGGAGUUAACCCUUUCAGUGCUGCCUUUUAUUCCCAGAGCAAAGGAAGAGACGCAUUGGUUGGGGUUGGGGGCGGGGGUGGGGCAGGGCAAGAAAUGAGGUGGACAUGGAAUUUGUUCUAUUAGGAUCAUGACCAGUUUUGAUAAAAGAAGUCCGAGGCUCUGCUCCUGCUGCCAGUGAGAAUUCAGACUGUGUUUGCAGGAACUCGAAGCCUCACUGGAUAUUUAGAUUAGACCUUUGUGAUGUGCAUCAGUGACCUGUGAUGUCUGCUUCUUCCCAAAGCAGAGGCUAGAUUUCACCCUGCUGUGCAUCCUGGAGACUCUGAGACAGACUUGUAUCUGACUUGCGCUCCAGUCAUGCACUUCGCUGCUUCUGGGAGGUGGAGCUGAAUUUAACACCUGCUCCUUUGGAGAGACUUGGAUUCACAUCCAGUGCAUCUCUACAGACUGGGCUUGAGUGAGUUUCGGACCUGUUGCUGACUCUGUGAAGAGCUUCUUGAAGCAGCUGUUUUAUCCCGUUAUUAGUUCAAGUCCCAAAGAAUAAUAGCAGGAACUGUA
rnacentral:sRNA from 1 species